GUUAUCUGCAUCUGUUUCAUUAGCUGUCUCUCUUUGGUCAGGAGAAAAGAUAAAGCAUUUCAUUAUGCAACUUUCAUACCAGUAUCGAGGACAAGACUGCAUGUAAAUUGUGAAGAUGUUUGGACUCUCUAUUUGCUUUCUAAAUUUUGAAGAUGAGAUUUGCAAAUACGAGCUUGUGAGAAGAGCCAGGUUGACAACAGUGAGCCUGAUCUCCUUUGCAGAGCAUGUGCAGCACGUUCCCUCGUUGCCUUGUCAGUGCCCUUCAGCCCCAACAUCGUCUCAAAAGUGAUGAGUUACGCUUGCCUCAUACCCAGCAUUGUACUCGGUGAGAUUGCCUCUCCUUAUGGAGUAACAGUAGAGCCACAGCUGCUGAGGAAAGAUGUUUGAACAGUCGUGCUGUGCCAGGCGGUGGCACGGAGCCUGUGUGU